rnacentral:rRNA from 1 species
UACGUAGGGGGCAAGCGUUGUCCGGAUUUACUGGGCGUAAAGCGCCUGUAGGCGGAAGCUUAAGCGGUACCUGAAAGCCCCCGGCUCAACCGGGGAAGGUGGCGUCGAACUGGGCUUCUUGAGGGCGAUAGAGGAAGGUGGAAUUCCGGGUGUAGCGGUGAAAUGCGUAGAGAUCCGGAGGAACACCAGUGGCGCAGGCGGCCUUCUGGGUCGACCCUGACGCUGAGAGGCGAAAGCGUGGGGAGCGAACGGG